UUCUCUGCUGAACCCAGGCCACAGUUGGAAUUCCUGCCCAGCUCCCACCUGUUGCUGCCUGAGUCCACACCUGGCCAAUCCUGUACACUGUGAUGUCAGAGUCCUUGGCCUUCAGGGUGGGGUCUUGUUCUCCACUGCCAAUUCAGGUGCACACUGGUAUGGACACUCUCAGCUCUGCCUCCAUGCACAUCACUAAUGACUAGAACAUCCCUGCUGUGUCACAGAUCCAUAGACCCUCCUUCCUGUGCAGGAGCAACCAAGCAGGUCCAGGAGGUCAGCCUUUGUGUUAGCCCCAGAGCAACGAGAUGGGACCGUACUUGUCCAGGGGAGAUCCAUCUGGUAGUCAACUCCAUCCAACCAUGCCAAGCUGUCCAGGGAGGGGAGAGGCCAGCACGGGGGCAGACACUGCAGGAUCCGGCUCAGGCUGAGGUGGCAACUCCGACUCCGGCUGCGACGCAGACUCCUGCUUCGACCG